rnacentral:rRNA from 1 species
CUGAGUACGGCGGAACACGUGAAAUUCCGUCGGAAUCCGGGAGGACCAUCUCCCAAGGCUAAAUACUCCCUAGUGACCGAUAGUGAACCAGUACCGUGAGGGAAAGGUGAAAAGCACCCCGGAAGGGGAGUGAAACAGUUCCUGAAACCGUGUGCCUACAAGUAGUUAGAGCCCGUUAAUGGGUGAUAGCGUGCCUUUUGUAGAAUGAACCGGCGAGUUACGAUUUGUUGCAAGGUUAAGCGGAAAAAGCGGAGCCGUAGCGAAAGCGAGUCUGAAUAGGGCGCAUAAGUAACAGGUCGUAGACCCGAAACCAGGUGAUCUACCCAUGUCCAGGAUGAAGGUAAGGUAAUACUUACUGGAGGUCCGAACCCACGCACGUUGAAAAGUGCGGGGAUGAGGUGUGGGUAGCGGAGAAAUUCCAAUCGAACUUGGAGAUAGCUGGUUCUCUCCGAAAUAGCUUUAGGGCUAGCCUCGAGGUAAAGAGUCAUGGAGGUAGAGCACUGUUUGGACUAGGGGCCCUUCUCGGGUUACCGAAUUCAGAUAAACUCCGAAUGCCAUGUACUUAUACUCGGGAGUCAGACUGCGAGUGAUAAGAUCCGUAGUCGAAAGGGAAACAGCCCAGACCACCAGUUAAGGUCCCCAAAUAUAUGUUAAGUGGAAAAGGAUGUGGGGUUGCUUAGACAACCAGGAUGUUGGCUUAGAAGCAGCCACCAUUGAAAGAGUGCGUAAUAGCUCACUGGUCGAGUGACCCCGCGCCGAAAAUGUACCGGGGCUAAACAUAUUACCGAAACUGUGGAUGAACCUCUUUAGAGGUUCGUGGUAGGAGAGCGUUCUAAGGGCGGUGAAGUCAGACCGGAAGGACUGGUGGAGCGCUUAGAAGUGAGAAUGCCGGUAUGAGUAGCGAAAGAAGGGUGAGAAUCCCUUCCACCGAAUAUCUAAGGUUUCCUGAGGAAGGCUCGUCCGCUCAGGGUUAGUCGGGACCUAAGCCGAGGCCGAUAGGCGUAGGCGAUGGACAACAGGUAGAGAUUCCUGUACCAGUGCUAAUUGUUUAACCGAUGGGGUGACACAGAAGGAUAGGGAAUCGCACGAAUGGAAAUGUGCGUCCAAGCAGUGAGUGUGAGAAGUAGGCAAAUCCGCUUCUCGCGAAGCAUGAGCUGUGAUGGGGAAGGAAAUUAAGUACGGAAGUUCCUGAUUUCACGCUGUCAAGAAAAGCCUCUAGGAAGAGUAGUACUGCCCGUACCGCAAACCGACACAGGUAGAUGAGGAGAGAAUCCUAAGGUGAGCGAGAGAACUCUCGUUAAGGAACUCGGCAAAAUGACCCCGUAACUUCGGGAGAAGGGGUGCUCUAUUAGGGUGCAAGCCCGAGAGAGCCGCAGUGAAUAGGCCCAGGCGACUGUUUAGCAAAAACACAGGUCUCUGCAAAACCGUAAGGUGACGUAUAGGGGCUGACGCCUGCCCGGUGCUGGAAGGUUAAGAGGAGUGCUUAGCUUCGGCGAAGGUACGAAUUGAAGCCCCAGUAAACGGCGGCCGUAACUAUAACGGUCCUAAGGUAGCGAAAUUCCUUGUCGGGUAAGUUCCGACCCGCACGAAAGGCGCAACGAUCUGGGCACUGUCUCAACGAGAGACUCGGUGAAAUUAUAGUACCUGUGAAGAUGCAGGUUACCCGCGACAGGACGGAAAGACCCCGUGGAGCUUUACUGCAACCUGAUAUGGAAUGUUUGUACCGCUUGUACAGGAUAGGUAGGAGCCGAAGAGACGUGUGCGCUAGCAUACGAGGAGGCAAUGGUGGGAUACUACCCUGGCUGUAUGACCAUUCU